rnacentral:tRNA from 1 species
GCGCGGCUGGCGAAAUUGGCAGACGCAACGGGUUUAGGUCCCGUCGCCGCAAGGCAUGUGGGUUCGAGUCCCACGCCGCGCACCA